AAACAAUAAAUAACCCUACAAUAUCCGUCUAAAACGAAUAUUUUACAUUUACCAUGUCUCAUCCAAAGUUGUGUUUCAGGUACACGAUUAUGGAAGUCAUGCAUACGGUCCACGGCUUCACUUGAGGAGAGAGCAUAUGUCAGUAUCUCGUGUCCAUGAUGCACGAGAUUAGAGAGAUCCCGUAUUGUUGGUCCACGAUUUCCCCAAAGUCGUGGAUAUCAUUCACGAAUUCCAUUAAAACUACGCUAGUUCCAUCAAUAUUUUGAACAUAUACUAAACAUGUGAUAGUGUAGUUUGACUACACAAUCCACAUAAAUUUUCCCUAUGUGACCUUUCCCUUUUUGAGAUGUAGAUGCGUGAGGUGCUUUAGUCGGUUCAGUAUGCAAUAAAUCAUUAACUUUAUCACAAAGAUUGCCAUCCUCAUAUUCCUCUUCUACCUUCCUUCUUUUACUCUUCAUUUCAUCAAUUGAUUUCUGGAUUUGGUGUUGAAUAUCUACUAGUACUUUCUUGCACUUUUCAACUUGUCCUUUUACUCCUGUCAAAUGAGCCUUAAACCAAGUGAUGUCACCCAUUUGAUUUGUUUCAUGCAAAAAAGGUAUAAUAGAACCGUUCUUCCAUUAUCAGCAACAACUUGUUUGCAAUGUGUCCAAGCUGGAUUUGAUUUACCUCUAUAUCUGCUUGUAGAAGUAUUUUUUGUUGAUGUUUCUUGUGAUGUUGGUAAUUCAUGUUCAUUUUAUUCCAUCUAUUUCUACAACAUAAGCUAUUAAGAACAAUUAAAAACAAUUCCAUUAUUGAUGGAUAUUGCCCACUUACAAGGAAUAAAAACAAUGUUAUUUCUUACAAUAUAAGCAAUUAAGAACAAUGUUAUUUGUAUCAACUUUAAAAAGCAAUUUGUUAAACCAUAAUAUCUCAUCGUGAAUAUCAUCUUGAUAUCUAAGUAUGUAACAUUCAUCCAAUAAGUAAAACACUAUAUAUCACAAUGUCAAAAGACUGCAACUUCACUUAUAUCUAUAUCUUGUGCCAAAGGACCUACAAAGUUAUGCUAUAAGAUGUGAGGACCUACCAAUCAUUUGGUAUUUUCCUCUAGUAGAAAUAAAGAAAAGCUUUUAUAACCACUAAGUGGUAACAACUACACACAUAGUUAUCAAACAUCAAGCUACCAAGCAUAUGCAAUCGCACCAAGCAUAGUCCUUCUCAUAUAUAUGCAAUCAGAUUAAAAUGGACUUGAAAAUCAAUGGAAUAUUUAAUAACAUCAUCAUGGUUUAAAUUCUCUUAUCCAAACAAAGGAAGCUACUAUUUUGUUCCUUUUGCUUAGAUUUGCCUUCGGGUUAGUGUCUUUGUUACUGAAAUAUAGGGCAAGCCUUAAGGGUGGGUCAUGUUAAAUAAAGAAAACUUUGAUUGACGGAACAUGGUGUUCAUGAAGAUAUAAAAAAGCAAAUGCACAAGUAAGAAAACAGUCCAUCUUAGUGAGUAGUGAGUAGUGACUAGUGAGAGCAUAAGUAAGAAAGUAGUUCAUUGUAGUGAGUAGUAAGCGCAUAUUCUUUAAAAUCAGUCGCAAAAUACAUGUAACAUACACUCUUAACAUUGUAUUACUCCACUCAACUUAAAAUAUAUGAAAUCAAAGUCAAGUAGUUUUUAGUAUGUAAAUAGUCUUUACCUAUGUAAAAUUACAUCUCUUGUUUUCUUAAUUUACCAUCAAUUGGUAAAAAAUAUAUGAUAUGUUGGACAAUGUCACAAGAAGCAUAUCUAAUGUUGCUUCUACUGUCGCUUCUUUACUUUGUGCCAACAAUUUCAUAUGGCAAGUGGAUAACGGAAAAAACCCAAUCAAUUAAGAGGGAAAAAGAAAGGUGGGUAUAGUUUGAUAAAAUUGGAUUAUAAUGUAUAGACCUUAGUACCUUACAAAGUUACAACUAGAGAUAUUAUAGUCAUGAAUUAAGGUUAGUGCUGCUUACUAACCCACCACUUCAAGUGCCAAGCUUAUCCACUUGGUUGCAGAAAGAUAUACAAAAAUAUCCAAUUAUCAUUACAAUAGUUAGAUAUUAGAUGCACUAGUUAGAUAUAAAGAUUGGAAGGCAUUAAAAUAUUAGAUGAUACCAUUACAAUAUUACACACACUCUCUCUGCUUUGAAGUAUCUUCAUUGCAUAAGGUAAUGGUGGAUGAUUGAAGAUGCUAUGUUAUGGUAUUACCUAAAUUAGUAAAUUAGGUUUUUCUCCCUUAAUGAGUAAGAGUGCAGUAUUACCUCAAAACCUGCUGAUCUGGAAAUGGAAGAAGAGAAUCACAAAACCGGUGGAAGGGAAUGAAAAGGAAUGAACAGAACUAGUGGAAGGGAUUGGAAUCGAGAUGAUGCACGUGUGGAAGGGACUAGACGGAGAUGAAGCACCAGUGGAAGCCUCGAUCUGGAAAAGAAGUGAAGAAAGUGUGAACCGUGUAGAUGAUUGACCUUGAACAAUUGAAGGAGAAAAUUAAAGGUGGGUUGAAGAAGGGUUGAUGAAGUGUGUAGAUGAUGGAGAUGAAUCAUGUAUGAAAAUUGAGAAGUUAAAACUUAAAACUUAAAACCCUCUUCCCUUAAAC
rnacentral:lncRNA from 1 species